CUUACGACUCUCGGCAAUGGAUAUCUCGGCUCUCGCAUCGAUGAAGAACGUAGCGAAAUGCGAUACUUAGUGUGAAUUGCAGAAUCCCGUGAAUCAUCGAGUCUUUGAACGCAAGUUGCGCCCGAAGCCUUGGCCAAGGGCACGUCUGCCUGGGCGUCGCAA
rnacentral:rRNA from 3 species